UACGGGGGGGGUAAGCGUUGUUCGGAAUUACUGGGCGUAAAGGGCUCGUAGGCGGCCAACUAAGUCACACGUGAAAUCCCUCAGCUUAACUGGGGAACUGCGUGUGAUACUGGAUGGCUUGGAUUUGGGAGAGGGAUGCGGAAUUCCAGGUGUAGCGGUGAAAUGCGUAGAUAUCUGGAGGAACACCGGUGGCGAAGGCGGCAUCCUGGACCAAUAUUGACGCUGAGGAGCGAAAGCCAGGGGAGCAAACGGG
rnacentral:rRNA from 1 species